GGGGCUGCGAUGAUUAUAAGAAAUUCCUCGUACUGAAUUUUGCCUAAUUUCGGCAUGACAGACUCUUUCUACACCCAUAGAAUCUGAGCUCC
rfam:Jatropha curcas cultivar GZQX0401 scaffold341_95, whole genome shotgun sequence.